GACGAACGCUGGCGGCGUGCUUAACACAUGCAAGUCGAGCGGUAAGGCCCUUUCGGGGGUACACGAGCGGCGAACGGGUGAGUAACACGUGGGUGACCUGCCCUCAGCUCUGGGAUAAGCCUGGGAAACCGGGUCUAAUACCGGAUAUGACUCCAUGACGCAUGUUGUGGGGUGGAAAGCCUUGUGCGGCUGAGGAUGGGCCCGCGGCCUAUCAGCUUGUUGGUGGGGUGAUGGCCUACCAAGGCGACGACGGGUAGCCGGCCUGAGAGGGCGACCGGCCACACUGGGACUGAGACACGGCCCAGACUCCUACGGGAGGCAGCAGUGGGGAAUCUUGCGCAAUGGGCGAAAGCCUGACGUAGCGACGCCGCGUGAGGGAUGACGGCCU
rnacentral:rRNA from 1 species